rnacentral:lncRNA from 1 species
AUGUAAACCAAAAGGGUUAGGACAGACAUUUGAUCAUAGUUCAGAUACUCAAGAUAAACUGGAACACCUGGUCUCAUAGCCAUCUUUAACUUCCGACUAUGAACACCUUAAAGAGGAUCAUGUUUGUGUUCACAGUAGGGGCUCAAUCACUGCUUAAUGAAAGAUGAAUGAUCCUGAGAAACUGCUUUGAAGUGCUUUGAUCUAGAGUCAAGCUUAUCCCACCCAGCCUACUUCCCCAAAGGUUUGCAGCCUGAGUCACUCAAUCCUGAGGCAUCACCAACAUCAUUUUUAUGCCUAGUGUGGGAGAGUGGAAAAAAAAUGUCAAGGUGUCAGAAGACUUUGGUUCGGCUUGUGAUUCACCAACAGGCUACAAAGAGCCAUGGUUUUAUCAUUCCUGAAUUUCAUCCUCAUCUGAGGAACAUGCUACGGUCCACUGGAAAAACUGAUUUGAGUGUCAGAGGUGCCUGCUUUCUCUCUCCUGAAUGUCUGGUUUUAGAAGAAUGAAGUCUAUUGACCUGUGCUGGUAGUCUGCAUUUAUGUGAACCUUGAUAUAAAACUGACUCUACCUUCUCAUCUAUAUAAGAUGACUUUCCUCCCAGAUAUAGAACUGCAAUUUCAUAAGAGCAAGAUUGGUUUAUUUUCACCAAGAAGGUGCCAUCUGUCUGCCCAGUACUGAGCUCUCAGGAAAUAAAGCAGCAUGGAAGACA